AUGUCGCCGGGCCAUCCGAAGGAUCAAGAAACGCCCGACGACGCAAGGCCAGGCCCAGUCGCACGCGAAGGCGGAGAACCUGAUGCGCCGCCGAGCACCUGCGGCCCGGUCAUCCUCGACACCACGCAACAGAAUCCUCGUGCUGCCACCCUCUCGCCACUGCCACCUCGUGCCGCCACUCUCUCACAGCGCAGAUCAUCUCCGGAGGACCCUCAUGUCACUGCCGGCGAGCAGCAGCAGCCGCAGCUGCAAGCGGCGGACAAGGCACCUCGCACCACCGAGGAGGAGCCGGCGGAUUUUAUCAAUCUUUCACGGAUCAACCCGGAAUACGCUCCAGUCCCCAAUGGCAUCGACAACGGCAGUGGCAGCGCCGCCAUCAGGAAGCAAGCAGAACCCGCACCGUCACCCACACCAAGCAUGGACGACCGCGAUGACGCCCCGGCCGUGGACACCGAUAGCUCGAGCCUCGCGUCCUACCUCGCCCGCGCCUCACUCGAGCAGCGCCGGCCAGGAGGGCGUCCGGCGUCCUCAUCCGCUGCUAUCGUGAGCGACCACCAGCUGCACAACGCCGCCGCGCACUCCUCGUAG
rnacentral:rRNA from 1 species